rnacentral:rRNA from 2 species
CAAAGGACUCUCGACAACGGAUAUCUCGGCUCAUGCAUCGAUGAAGAACGUAGCAAAAUGCGAUACUUGGUGUGAAUUGCAGAAUCCCGUGAACCAUCGAGUUUUUGAACGCAAGUUGCGCUCGAAGCCUUUUGGCCAAGGGCACGUCUGCCUGGGCGUCACAC